AUUUAUAUAGUUUAAAUCUAAAACCAUACAUUUUCAUUGUAUAAAUAAUAUAAUUAUAUUUAUAAAUA
rnacentral:tRNA from 1 species